rnacentral:rRNA from 1 species
UACGUAGGGUGCGAGCGUUGUCCGGAAUUACUGGGCGUAAAGAGCUCGUAGGUGGUUUGUCUCGUUGUUCGUGAAAACCUGAGGCUUAACCUUGGGCGUGCGGGCGAUACGGGCAGACUGGAGUACUGCAGGGGAGACUGGAAUUCCUGGUGUAGCGGUGGAAUGCGCAGAUAUCAGGAGGAACACCGGUGGCGAAGGCGGGUCUCUGGGCAGUAACUGACGCUGAGGAGCGAAAGCGUGGGGAGCGAACAGG